AUUGAACGCUGGCUACAGGCUUAACACAUGCAAGUCGAGGGACCGGCGCACGGGUGAGUAACGCGUAUCCAACCUUCCCGCGACCAAGGGAUAACCUGCCGAAAGGCAGACUAAUACCUUCUGGUCACGGCUGGGGAUGCGUCCGAUUAGCUUGUUGGCGGGGCAACGGCCCACCAAGGCUUCGAUCGGUAGGGGUUCGGAGAGGAAGGCCCCCGAGACUGGAACUGGGGCACGGUCCAGACGCGUACGGGAGGCAGAAGUGAGUAAGAUUGGGCAAGGGGCGGAAGCCUGAACCAGCCAAGUAGCGUGCAGGACGACGGCCUACGGGGUGUAAACUGCUUUUAUGCGGGGAUAGGUACCGCAUGAAUAAGGACCGGCUAAUUCCGUGCCAGCAGCCGCGGUAAUAC
rnacentral:rRNA from 1 species